UAAUGCGUUGGAUUAUUUUAUGCAAAGUCCAAAAUCAGAAGCAACACAUUAGUAUAAUGAUUUACACGCAGAAACAGUCGUCAAACGUAGAGAUAAUGAGGAGUCACGCGUCGUUGGAGGUGGCGAAGACGGUGUUGGAGGUGGCCGACGUGGCCUGGACCGCCAUUGAAAGCCACCACAGGGAAACGCCCAUUUUGCCUCCGCCCCCGGGCAAAGAAGAUUUGGAAUUGGAAUCCUUACGAUCCGAAAAUCAACGCCUCAGGAACUUACUUCAACAAAAUCUGACCCUUUUCCGAAACAUAUCAUCGGCACCUUCUUUAUUACAGAAUUGCCCUCCCGAUUUGCAUGAGCGCCUUUUAGCAGUUGUGAAUUCUGAAAGAUUCCUGGAUCAACUCGAAAAUCUGAGGCAGAACUCUAUGGAGGGUGCUGCGUGCAAGUUUCCAUUUAACGAGCCGUCAGAUAAAGAUUUGGAGAAAGUGGAGAUUUUGAUUAAUGUUGGUCACGAAGAGCCGAGUUGGUGGGUCUGGGUCACUGAGGACAUGGUUCCGAGCAACACUGAAGAGCGGAGUGAAAUUGAUAAUGACAAUUAUGUAGUUGUGAAUGAGGAGCAAGUGGUGGAAGGGGUGGCCAAUUUCAUGGCCAGAUGCUUGGUGGCGAACCCGAAAUCUCAGAAAUUGACUCCUGAGCAGCUGCAGGGAGGGUAUUUACCAAUUAUAGAAUGGAAAUUACAUUUCCUGGCUUAAAGAGUUAUGGUGCAGCAGGAAGUUUUAUUCGAAAACGUCCAGCCAUCACAAAAGCAUUGGGAGGCAUGAAUAAGGUGGAGAAGGCAUUAAACAUUUGGCAUGCGGGAAUGAUGUUGUACACCCUGGGCAUGUGGGGACUUGCUCUAACUGGUUUGUACAAGAGUCGAGCCAUUCUGAGACUUGCUGCAACGGGGGUGCAUACUUCGAGCAAAGCAGUACUGAAGGUCUUCUGAAUGUAGCUUUUUUUCUUUCAUCUGCAACACAAACGGUUCUUGAACAGAACCAUUUAGCAACUUUGUGUACAUACCAAGGGAGCUUGCCACUGCCUUUGUAUAUAACUGUGAAUAGAAUUGGGUUUGAAAUUGUCUAGUGAAGUUUCUUGUGUUGUUACAAUGUAUGACUAUUUGUAAAACUACAUUAUUUUAUCAAUUAUUUUGAAUUGUU